GGCCGCCAGGGAGAAUCUUCACCCUCGUUGCACAACCAGCUGUCUAAGGUGCGUGGGUAAGGCCUUCGGGUCGUAAAGCUCUGUCAGAGGGAAAGAAACUCCCGUCGGUUAAUACCCGGCGGGCCUGACGGUACCCUCAAAGGAAGCACCGGCUAACUCCGUGCCAGCAGCCGCGGUAAUACGGAGGGUGCAAGCGUUGUUCGGAAUUAUUGGGCGUAAAGCGCGUGUAGGCGGUUCGUUAAGUCUGAUGUGAAAGCCCUGGGCUUAACCUGGGAAGUGCAUUGGAAACUGGCGAACUUGAGUAUGGGAGAGGAAAGUGGAAUUCCGAGUGUAGGGGUGAAAUCCGUAGAUAUUCGGAGGAACACCAGUGGCGAAGGCGGCUUUCUGGACCAAUACUGACGCUGAGACGCGAAAGCGUGGGGAGCAAACAGGAUUAGAUACCCUGGUAGUCCACGCCGUAAACGAU
rnacentral:rRNA from 1 species